CUCGAGUGGCGAACGGGUGAGUAACACGUGGGCAAUCUGCCCUGCACUUCGGGAUAAGCCUGGGAAACUGGGUCUAAUACCGGAUAGGACCUUUAGGCGCAUGUCUUNUGGUGGAAAGCUUUUGCGGUGUGGGGUGGGCCCGCGGCCUAUCAGCUUGUUGGUGGGGUGACGGCCUACCAAGGCGACGACGGGUAGCGNCGGCCUGAGAGGGUGUCCGGCCACACUGGGCCUGAAAUACGGCCCAGACUCCUACGGGAGGCAGCAGUGGGGAAUAUUGCACAAUGGGCGCAAGCCUGAUGCAGCGACGCCGCGUGGGGGAUGACGGCUUUGGGUUGUAAACCUCUUUCACCAUCGACGAAGGUCCGGGUUUUCUCGGGUUGACGGUAGGUGGAGAAAAAGCACCGGCCAACUACGUGCCAGCAGCCGCGGUAAUACGUAGGGUGCGAGCGUUGUCCGGAAUUACCGGGCGUAAAGAGCUCGUANGUGGUUUGUUGCGUUGUUCGUGAAAUCUCACGGCUUAACUGUGAGCGUGCGGGCGAUACGGGCAGACUAGAGUACUGCAGGGGAGACUGGAAUUCCUGGUGUAGCGGUGGAAUGCGCAGAUAUCAGGAGGAACACCGGUGGCGAAGGCGGGUCUCUGGGCAGUAACUGACGCUGAGGAGCGAAAGCGUGGGGAGCGAACAGGAUUAGAUACCCUGGUAGUCCACGCCGUAAACGGUGGGUACUANGUGUGGGUUUCCUUCCUUGGGAUCCGUGCCGUANCUAACGCAUUAAGUACCCCGCCUGGGGAGUACGGCCGCAAGGCUAAAACUCAAAGGAAUUGACGGGGGCCCGCACAAGCGGCGGANCAUGUGGAUUAAUUCGAUGCAACGCGAAGAACCUUACCUGGGUUUGACAUGCACAGGACGCGUCUAGAGAUAGGCGUUCCCUUGNGGCCUGUGUGCNGGUGGUGCAUGGCUGUCGUCAGCUCGUGUCGNGAGAUGUUGGGNUAAGUCCCGCAACGAGCGCAACCCUUGUCNNAUGNUGCCAGCGGGNAAUGNCGGGGNNUCNNGANANNCUGCCGGGGNNAACUCNGANGAANGNGGGGNUGACNUNNANUCAUCA
rnacentral:rRNA from 1 species